GUUCCUUCGAGUACAUUCGAGAAAAUUGGAACGAUAUAGAGAAGAUUAAUAUGGCCCCUGCACAAGGAUGACACUCAUAAAUCGAGAAAUAAUCUAAAUCUUA